GGGCGGCUAGCUCAAUGGCUAGAGUGUCUGCUUUACACGCAGAAGGUUAUAGGUUCGAAUCCUAUGCCGCCCA
rnacentral:tRNA from 1 species